AAACCCGUGGGCAUUGUGCAUCAGUACAUAAGUCAUAUUUUGGAAGCUCGGAUCAGAAAACUUCCUGGACGAAUGUUGCUCAUCUGCUCGAGUACUAUAGCCUGUAAAAUUUUCUGAAUUCUUUGAAUUUUUCUGAUGCCUCAAAGCUGGUCUGCAACUUCUGUGUUCAUCCAUGGCUGGUGUAUACGUCUCUGGCACAGGCAGGGAGGGUGCCGAAAGCUUGUGUUGUAUCCAUUGUCACUGGAAGCUUCGAGUUUACCAAUUUCGCAACUUGGCAAUUUGGAUUUCUAUCUCGAUUUCUCAGUAAAUAGUUCUGCUCCUUCACUGGAAUCUUGAGUCUUUCUUUUGGCUUUGUAGGAAUAGACAUAGACUGGUGUUUGGCCUAGGCUUGUUUUUCUUGUGAACACACGCUUGAUUAAAUCUGGACUUUUCUCCGA